GGAGUCUGGGCCGUGUCUCAGUCCCAAUGUGGCCGAUCGACCUCUCAGUCCGGCUACCGAUCGUCGGCAUGGUGAGCCGUUGCCUCACCAACUACCUAAUGUCACGCAUGCCCAUCCACUACCACCGUAGCUUUAGUUGUCUCUCCAUGCGAAAAAACAACUCCAUGGGAUAUUAGUGGAAGUUUCCCUCCGUUAUCCCCCUGUAGUGGGUAGGUUGCAUACGCGUUACGCACCCGUGCGCCGGUCGCCAGCACAGUAUUGCUACCGCCUGCUGCCCCUCGACUUGCAUGUGUUAAGCCUGCCGCUAGCGUUCAUC
rnacentral:rRNA from 1 species